GAGGAAGCAGAGCGGCGAGUGUUCAAGUCGUCAGGGGGCGGAUGAGAAGAGACCUCUUUUUUUAAAGAGUCUGAGGCGGACUUGGGAUCGAUCGCGCCGCCGGCCCCUACCACCGCUUCUUCGGCCGGCGCAGUCGCCGUCGGCCGCGGCAACCGGGCCUCCGCCUCCUCGCCUUCGCGGACGCAAGCGACCGGAAGAGGUUCCCGGACGACGUCGCGCCGCUCGGCCGCCGCGGCGCCCGCCGCGACGGCGGCAGGCCGCGGCACCGCGCCAACGUCCCCGCGCUGUAGCACGCCGGCGCCCCGGUCGCGUCCCCGGCGAAGGAGAAGAGGAAGGGGCCGGAGGAGCGCGGGCGGCGGCGGCCGCCGGCGCAGCCCCUCGAGCGGCUGGAGCCGUGGUUCUUAGGGCAGGAGAUGGAGCUCAAGGGCGUCCCCUCCUACUUCGACGACCCCUGCGUGCACAUGGGGUUCUUGUUCAUGGAGUGCGACGUCUACUGGUCUAGGCGGUUCCCGCAGCGGACGCUCCUGCAGAAGCUCUCGUACUAACACAAAGGGCUUCGGACCACCCAGCCCUGCUUCCUUCUCUUGGGGCUGCUCGAGUUUGAGCUCAAAGGUUUUCUCUACGUCUUACGACGCCUUCUACAACUAAAAUUUCCGCCCCGUCCACGACGGUCACCGCUCCAUCAAUGUCAUUUAUUUGGGUCUUUCGUCCGGCGACACGGGGCGUGUCGUCUCGGGGCGUGUGGUCUCGGGGUGUGUGGUCUCAUACUUAGGCUACGACUAAGUCUCCUAAGCCUACAAUUCCUACUCUAACCGUGCGUCUGAUGCUCACUAUGUGGACAAUCCUUUAGACGGUCUUGACGACCCUUCUGGAAGUUCAAGCGUCUCGAGCGACCUCCUCUAAGCCGACUUUCACUGUGACUCUAACUCAAACGACUCCUGAACCUACUCUUCUACCUCUCACGUCUUUAAUUCCUUCUUUAGGGUCCACUUCUGUAAUUCCUUCUUUAGGGUUCACUUCUGUAAUUUGGACUUCUAGGAGGUCGUCUCAGAGAAAGAUAGUUCUUCGUUGGUGAACAAGUCCGAUUAAACAGACGGUACAAAUUUUUUCGUCUUCUUUUUUUCUCUGGAUGUUGAUGUUCUUCAGGAUUUCCAAGAGGUCGAUGUUUUCCAGGACGACGAUUCUUCGUCGCUCGUUGAGGUUGCUUUUUUGUCAGUGGUCGCUUCUUCCUUCGUUCGCCUAGAGUCUUUUUCGUUUUUCGUUUCCAUCUUCUUCUACUUUAACUUCUCGAGAGCCUACUAGGGAGAGUCCUACUACUACGUCGAGGACGAUUCUUCGUCGCUCCUUGAGGUUUCCCUUUUGUCAGUCGUCGUUUCUUCCUUCGUUCGCCUAGGGCCUUUUUCUUUUUCGGCUUCCAUCUGCUCCUCGAGAGACUACUUAGGAUAGUCCUGCUGCUGUACCCGCUCCUCCUCCUCCUGCUACUAUCGCUACUGCUGACCCGGCCCAUUCCUCACGGGUCUAGACUGUACGGCACCUUUCCCACCUAGCGCCUACUCGCUGGGAGGGAGGGAGUGACCGCACGCAUCAUCAUCUCGCACGUAUCUCUCACACAAACGAGAAAGAUCGACUCGUCACACUUUUUUUACGAACAAAGAACUACAUGUUAAAGAUCUCGUAGUAGAGUCAGGUACACAUCAUGGCGUCCUUAGGCUAGGACUGGGUGCGCCCAACAUCAUCCUCAACCUUAACGCUCUAUAUUAAGCGAUCCGCACAAACAAACAACAUUAUUGUCCUCGUCUUUAGCAACACUCUAACACGACUAUUUUAGGUCCGGCUCGGGGGUCGCUACACUCCAACACGACUAUUUUAGGUCCAGCCCAGUUAG
rnacentral:rRNA from 1 species